UACAUAGGGUGCGAUCGUUAAUCGGAAUUACUGGGCGUAAAGCGCACGUAGGUGGCGACGUAAGUCGGGUGUGAAAGCCCCGGGCUCAACCUGGGAAUUGCAUUCGAGACUGCAUUGCUGGAGUACGGAAGAGGAGGACGGAAUUCCCGGUGUAGCGGUGAAAUGCGUAGAUAUCGGGAGGAACAUCAGUGGCGAAGGCGGCCCUCUGGUCCAGUACUGACACUCAAGUGCGAAAGCGUGGGGAGCAAACAGG
rnacentral:rRNA from 1 species